rnacentral:rRNA from 1 species
UAGCUAGUUGGUGGGGUAAGGGCCUACCAAGGCGACGAUCGGUAGCUGGUCUGAGAGGAUGACCAGCCACACUGGAACUGAGACACGGUCCAGACUCCUACGGGAGGCAGCAGUGGGGAAUAUUGGACAAUGGGGGCAACCCUGAUCCAGCAAUGCCGCGUGUGUGAAGAAGGCCUGAGGGUUGUAUAGCACUUUCAGUGGGGAGGAGUGUUGAUGGGUUAAGAGCUAAUUAACUGGACGUUACCCACAGAGGAAGCACCGGCUAACUCCGUGCCAGCAGCCGCGGUAAUACGGAGGGUGCGAGCGUUAAUCGGAAUUACUGGGCGUAAAGAGUGCGUAGGUGGUUGAAUAAGUUAUCUGUGAAAUCCCUGGGCUUAACCUGGGCAGGUCAGAUGAUACUGUUUAACUCGAGUAUGGGAGAGGGUAGUGGAAUUUCCGGUGUAGCGGUGAAAUGCGUAGAGAUCGGAAGGAACACCAGUGGCGAAGGCGGCUACCUGGCCUAAUACUGACACUGAGGCACGAAAGCGUGGGGAGCAAACAGGAUUAGAUACCCUGGUAGUCCACGCUGUAAACGAUGUCAACUAGCUGUUGGUUAUAUGAAAAUAAUUAGUGGCGC